ensembl:lncRNA
UGUCAAAUCCAACGUAGAAUGAUCUCUCACAAAGAGCAUUCCCCAUUGGAACAGACCCAAACGCAGAUCGAGUAAGGUGAAUAACAAAGGAUUUAUUUUCUUAGAGGCAAAUGCGGAAAAAUACUAGGAACAGGGUGGUGAGGGCGGUCCAGAAUCCCAGGAAUUACAGUUUGUGUACUACAUUCAGUCAUGCAAGAAGGAUUUUUUACGGGAUAUCUGCCACAGUCUACAAUCCUUUGCACAGCAGAUAUGAGGCAGAGGGCUCAAGCUGCAUGUAAACCGAAAGUAGUACGAAGCCCCAGUUGGAUACUGCAUGGAACAACAAGUACUUUGUGAGGAGCAGGCAGUUUGGCCUAAAGGUAAA